UACGUAGGGGGGCAAGCGUUGUCCGGAAUCAUUGGGCGUAAAGAGCGUGUAGGCGGUCCGGUAAGUCGGCUGUGAAAGUCCAGGGCUCAACCCUGGGAUGCCGGUCGAUACUGCCGGACUAGAGUUCGGAAGAGGCGAGUGGAAUUCCCGGUGUAGCGGUGAAAUGCGCAGAUAUCGGGAGGAACACCUAUGGCGAAGGCAGCUCGCUGGGACGUUACUGACGCUGAGACGCGAAAGCGUGGGGAGCAAACAGG
rnacentral:rRNA from 1 species